UACGUAGGGUGCAAGCGUUGUCCGGAAUUAUUGGGCGUAAAGAGCUCGUAGGCGGUGUGUCACGUCGGCCGUGAAAACCUGCAGCUUAACUGUGGGCGUGCGGUCGAUACGGGCAUCACUGGAGUUCGGCAGGGGAGACUGGAAUUCCUGGUGUAGCGGUGAAAUGCGCAGAUAUCAGGAGGAACACCGGUGGCGAAGGCGGGUCUCUGGGCCGAUACUGACGCUGAGGAGCGAAAGCGUGGGGAGCGAACAGG
rnacentral:rRNA from 1 species